CAGCAGCCGCGGUAAUACGUAGGGUGCGAGCGUUAAUCGGAAUUACUGGGCGUAAAGCGUGCGCAGGCGGUUGUGUAAGACAGGUGUGAAAUCCCCGGGCUUAACCUGGGAACUGCGCUUGUGACUGCGCAGCUAGAGUAUGGCAGAGGGGGGUGGAAUUCCACGUGUAGCAGUGAAAUGCGUAGAGAUGUGGAGGAACACCGAUGGCGAAGGCAGCCCCCUGGGCCAAUACUGACGCUCAUGCACGAAAGCGUGGGGAGCAAACAGGAUUAGAGACCCCUGUAGUCCCUGUCUCUUAUAC
rnacentral:rRNA from 1 species